rnacentral:rRNA from 1 species
AUACGGAGGGUGCAAGCGUUAUCCGGAAUCAUUGAGUUUAAAGGGUCCGUAGGCGGAUUAUUAAGUCAGAGGUGAAAUCCCACAGCUUAACUGUGGAACUGCCUUUGAUACUGGUAGUCUUGAGUUAUAUGGAAGUAGAUAGAAUGUGUAGUGUAGCGGUGAAAUGCAUAGAUAUUACACAGAAUACCGAUUGCGAAGGCAGUCUACUACGUAUAUACUGACGCUAAUGGACGAAAGCGUGGGGAGCGAACAGGAUUAGAAACCCUAGUAGUCC